rnacentral:lncRNA from 1 species
GAAUUCUGACAGCCUCUCCUACAUGCAUUAUUUAUUUUUUAUUGUUUUAUUUUUUACAGAUGUGGAUGGUGACUGAACUGCUGCUGUAAACUUGUACCCAGGCUUCAAGUUGCUGCAAUCAUUCAUUGAGGCAACAGUACAAAGCUGCCAAUUUGAAAACAAGGCUUUGCUCAGUAGCAGAAGAAAAUGAAAAAUUCAAGGGUAAGUCUGAAGAUUACAAGGACCUUAAAAAUCCUACAGAAAG